CGUAGGUGACCUGCGGAAGGAUAUUACC
rnacentral:rRNA from 1 species